rnacentral:lncRNA from 1 species
AAAAAACAAAAUACCUAUUAAAAUUUAAUAGGGAAUAUGUGUUUUUGCUUUCUUUUUUACGCUCUCCCGUGUAUUUCUGUAUACAUGCUAUGAUUUUUAUUGUCUAAACUCUAGUGGAUAAUUUAAGAAAAACUGUAUGAAAUUACAGAGACUGUUUCUCGGUGCUUUGUUUCACAGGCACACGCUAUAAAUACAAGAUUUAACAUUUGCACACUUGAUUUUUCUUGCUUAUACUAAAAAUGACAACAAGAUUUUAAAACAAAUACACUGCGCUGUAGCUAAAACAAAGAAACGGACCGGGGGUCUCCUGCCCCCUCUGAACUCAGAAGUACUUUGUUGAUCAAACUUUACACAAAAACGUCUUCACCAUCACGUACCUUGAACUGCUUGACUUCUCUCCACUUCCUAUACUGCAAACUGAGAUGGUAAAGCUGCUGUUGAUUGCCAUAACACAAGUUCAGGACUUGGACGUGCUUUGUACAUUGGACUCUCGUUUUGUGCUGGUGUAGUAACUGGGGGUCGAUGGAGAUCGAAGAGGGCAUAAAGAAGUGGUGAUUAUUGCAUUUGUUCCUUGCCUUCCAACAUCAAUCUCCUUCUCUAAAGGCGAGUUGUUUAAUAACAGGCGUUCACAGUACCAAAGUACUUCUAAAUGAACGGGGGAAGAUAAUCACAUGGUGAGGGCUGUCUUCUUCGGUCUGCAUGAUAACACUCCACUCAGGCCCUGGGACCGGACCAAGGACUGGGGAUCAACUUUGACCCAAGGCUUUCUCAUGAUGCAUCACAGUUUUUCUAAGCUUUACUAAGGUAAGUUUGACCAGCACUUGUAUACAGCAGGUUAAUGGAUAUCGUAAUGCUGAAAGGAGUUUCUGCCAUAAUUACUGAAUAUGGACCAAAAUUCUUGUCUAAAUUUUGGGAAUUUACCAGGUCGUGUCAUUUUUGAAAAAUCACAACGUCAUUG